rnacentral:rRNA from 1 species
CCUACGGGCGGCAGCAGUGGGGAAUAUUGCACAAUGGGGGAAACCCUGAUGCAGCGACGCCGCGUGAGUGAAGAAGUAAUUCGUUAUGUAAAGCUCUAUCAGCAGGGAAGAAGAAAUGACGGUACCUGAGUCAGAAGCACCGGCUAAAUACGUGCCAGCAGCCGCGGUAAUACGUAUGGUGCAAGCGUUAUCCGGAUUUACUGGGUGGAAAGGGAGCGCAGGCGGCACGGCAAGCCUGAUGUGAAAGCCCGCGGCCCAACCGCGGGACUGCCUUGGGAACUACCGGGCUGGAGUGCCGGAGAGGUAGGCGGAAUUCCUAGUGUAGCGGUGAAAUGCGUAGAUAUUAGGAGGAACACCAGUGGCGAAGGCGGCCUACUGGACGGUGACUGACGCUGAGGCUCGAAAGCGUGGGGAGCAAACAGGAUUAGAUACCCGUGUAGUC